rnacentral:tRNA from 1 species
UGGGGUAUAACCCGGUGGUAGAGUGCAUGCUUAGAAUGUGUGAGGUACUGGGUUCAAUUCCCAGUACUUCCA